UGCGUAGGCGGCCAUGUAAGUCAGUUGUGAAAUACCCCGGCUCAACCGGGGGGGUGCGAUUGAUACUGCGUGGCUUGAGUGGCAGCGAGGUUGGCGGAAUUGACGGUGUAGCGGUGAAAUGCAUAGAUAUCGUCAAGAACACCGAUAGCGAAGGCAGCCAACUAGGGGCCAACUGACGCUGAGGCACGAAAGUGCGGGGAUCAAACA
rnacentral:rRNA from 1 species